CAGAGGGUAGUUUAAAUUCAGAAUACUAGCUUUGGGUGCUAGCGGCGGGAGUCAAUCUCUUCCCUUUGG
rnacentral:tRNA from 1 species